rnacentral:lncRNA from 1 species
UCGCCGACUUGAAAGUAAAUUGCGAAGAAAAGUAGAUUUGUAUUGAUUGUGAUGUGUAUAUCCUUCCAGACCUCGCAGGGCCUCUAUUUAUACCCUAAACCUUAAGACUUCUAGUCCUAGUCGAUUAUGACAAAACACAAGAUCUAUCUCUAAAGAAACAAACUUUCUAAACAAAACAAAAAUGACUCGUACAUGAGUUGGAAACGAACUUGGCUUCCACCAACCAAAACCUACUCUUCAUCGGCCGAAUCCCCAACAUCUCAAAUCGGUGGAAUCCUCCUGCUUGCAUCGGCUGACCCCAUCGGCUAUCCCCCUAUCAUC